CUGCAUGAGCUCCCUUUUGAGGUUAGUUUUAUGUGGGUGGCUCUGAGAAGGAGUCACUCACAGGAUGGAUUAUCAAGAGGCUCAAGGGAGGGCCUUGAGCAGAGGCAAGCUGGAAACACCCAGGACCUACACUCGGAUGUCCUCAUCCGUGACCACAUCUGGGCUUGUUCAAUGUGCCAGACAGGGAUACAUAAGCAUCACUAUUUCCAUGAAAAUAAAGCUUCAUUGACGGAUAAUCGACAUACAAUAACCUGCACAUAUUUAAAGCAUGCAGUUUGAAUGCCAGAUAACACCUUGGAGAUGGUGGAGAGAUUCUGGAGUUUGGAGAUGGAUAAAGUGGGGAAGAAGCUUCUUCCAGGCCAGCACCAGGGGUGCCUCAAUGGAGAAGACAGGCAAGAUCGGGCUCACCCAGAGUUCACAGAGCAGUGGAAGAGACAGGCAGUAAAUAGGAGGGACUGAAUAAACCAAUACAGCAGGAAGAGGAUUUUAAACAGUGUACGCAGGCCUCUCACUGUUGUGGCCUCUCCCGUUGCGGAGCACAGGCUCCGGACGCGCAGGCUCAGUGUCCAUGGCUCACGGGCCCAGCCGCUCCGCGGCAUGUGGGAUCUUCCCGGACCGGGGCACGAACCCGCAUCCCCUGCAUCGGCAGGUGGACUCUCAACCACUGCGCCACCAGGGAUGCCCGAGAAGUUUUUAUGAUUGUUGCUAAUACUAAAACGAGCCUUUAUCACUUUUAUAGGACAAUGGAAGAAUCUAAGUCGAGUGUGAAAGGUAAAAAAAAUUCUUGCAUUGUUUGAAUCUGCUUUUUUAAAAGAAAUCAGCACAUUUAUCCAUUCUGCAGUACUCAUAACCCCUCGUGUACUCCUGAAUGUUCUGUGUUCAAUUUUCAUUUUCUUCCCAAAUAGCCAGGAAUAUUGAAUUAACAAAUUACAUAAGACAGAACAAAGUGAGCUCUCAACAUUGUCCUAAAGGAUAUAUAUAAAAGCUCUUUGCAAGCAGUAAAGUAGAUAAAAAUGUUCAUUAAUAUUAUUAUAUCUCUAUCAAGUUAUGGGAUCUGUUGACCAAACCCCUAGAAAAUUAAGAGGAAAUGAUUUCACGUAAUUCCCCAAACUAUAUUCUGUUGAACACUAGUGUCCCAUGAGAUUUUAAUUGUGUAUUAUAGAAG